CUCUGAGCCCCUGAAGCUCGGCGUUGUUCGCUGGGGCUGGUGGGAUCGGAACCCCGUGCCAGACUGAAAACACGAGCCUCUAAGGCUGAGAGGGGUUUAGUGCGGUUGUGCAGGAGCGCCGGCGCGCGCGACUUUUUCUGUGUUGGAGCGGGUUUAAGGAGGCGGCUCUGGGGGGGUGAGGCGUUUAGGUGCGUGGCCUCCCCACUCUCGGGUGAGGUAACACAGACCUUGGAGCCAGAUUUGCUGGGUUUGUACCCCAGCCCCAACAGUUAAGCGCUCUGUGGCUUUGGGCAACUCAGGUAGCAUGAAUCUCAUCAGCACAGAGAGAAAGCUUCACUGAAAACUCACUGCAGGUCGCACCCCCUCAACUCAGACGGCAACAGUGCAGUCAGAGGCCUGCCCUUCCAAGCCUCAGACCCAUGCAGCAGUACGAAUUGAGGUUAAAACACAGAUGCCACUAACCUGCACACCAAAUGGCAUGAGUCAGUGACACCAGCUCCGAGACCUGUUUUGAGCCCAAGCAACCGUCCAAGUCACACGCCUGCUUCUCCCACUUUCACGUGCGGACGAUAAUCAUGAUGUCAACAACAACUUGCCAUCUUUCUCUGAAGAUUCAUUCAACAACUAAUUACUGUGCAUACACUGAGUGCUAUCCCUCCCUGAGGCACUGAGGUGUGAAGUCUCUGUUCUCCUGGAGCUUGCUGUCUAGUAGGAGACAGAGGGGACAAAUAAAUAAACACAUAGAUACGAUAUCAGGUGGUAUAUGUUCUGUGAGGAAGCAAAGAAGUGGGGUAAAGGACUAAAGACUGGUGUAGCAGACGAGCUCGGUGCCUUGCCAGCCUCCCCGCGGCAUUCACCUGGGCACGUGGAGGCUGCUUCCCGUGAGCCCCUGAGGCCCUCUGCCUGGGGGCGGUUAUUUUUCUGGCCGUGGGAGAACGCUUGGCCCCCAAGCGGGGUAAGCAAGAAGUAUUAGAGAACAUCUUUCUCACUUUCCUCAUCUCAUAGUUAGUUACGAUAUCUCCUUUAAUCCUUUCUUUCACUAUUUCCUCCAGUUGGUUCACUUCUCAUUUCUCUGAUGGCUCUUCUUCUGAGAGUUCUGCCAUUUAAAUAAAACGCGUCUACCACUGAUUGGGGCAGGGAAGCUGGACCGUCCACAGCCCUGCUUAGGGAGGCAGCCUCCAGGCGAAAAGCCGCAGGCUCCCCCAAAUUUUUUUAGAAGAUGGGAGACAGAUCAUCUUCUCCUGCUCCAUCGCCAUCAUCGUCAAGGACACCUUCUCCUGAGAACCCAUUAUCUGCUGAACUUCGGGCCAUUUGUUUGACCGUCAUCAUCUCUGACCCUCACACCAACUCGGAAAACCAGACAGUAACUACAGCCCAGCCCAGGGAGGCAACCUUCCCUCCUACAGCAGCCGAGGCGCUCCCCUCAUACCUCUGGCUACACAGGACACACCUCAGCAGCGAUUCCCGUGGCCACAGUGCCCUCACCAUGCAUUCUGGGCCCUGCCAAGGCAGUUACUUUGAUCCUGAAUAGGAGACUCCAGAUCACACGGGAUGUGCAGUUCUUUUUAGGCAGCUGGCAUGAGCUUAGCACAGAUGCCUCCCGGAGCAGGACUGCUUUGCUGCCUCCUGGGAGGUCCAUCAUCAAAACCUCCUGCCCUGACCCACAUUGCGACUCUCCCCAUUUGUGCUUCUGGCUGGAGCUACCAGGUAACCGACGUGGGAGUCUAUGAGUGCUUCAUUUGGCUCAGAGUUCCUUGUGGAGGAGCUGGCGUCUCAAAGUUGGUUAGCAGUAAGCGAGCCCUGAGGUGUUUGUUAGCUAUUAAGGCCUGAAAGGUGGGCACAACUGGGCUGCGGUCUGUGUGGGUGGUCCCCAGGAAGUCCCCUAGUGUCUCUAGGAUUCCGGUUUCUCUCAGGCUGGAAGCAAUCACGGAUAGUUUUUAGGGCUCCGUUUCACCCCUUUCUUGUCCCUAGUGAUUACCAAAUGUCUAUGUGUACAUCUACAUUUUCAGCUUCCUAUGUAGUCAGACUGAGGCCGAACGACAGAGUGUCAGCUACUAGCCAGCUGGACACAGGCAGAAUUAAUUAAUGUACACCACUUCAAGGCUUGGUCCUUAUAAAACCUCCCAGGAGCCUUGCUUCUCUCUUUUCCUCCACUGCUUGGGAACUACACAUUCUAGGCUUACAUCAGACUUUGUGUGAGGAAGAAAUAGAACUAUUAUUGUAUUAAAGCACUGAGCUUUGUUGGUUUGUCUGUUAGCAUAGCAUAGCGUAGCCUAUCCUGACUAAAAUACAUUUUCUUUUAUUCUGCCUAUUCAUUCAUUCAUCCACUCAUUCAGAUGUCAUUCGUUCACUUGAUAUUAAUUAAGUGCCUACUACAUGGCUGCACACUAGUACUUUAGCAUGAAUAUACCUUGGGUUCUUCCCCUGGAGAAGAGGUGGCUGUCUAGGUGAGGAGAUGGAGAUGGGAGCAGAGACGAUAAUAAUACAGUGUGAUAAGUGUGUACAGGGUGCAUAACAUUGUGUUAUGUGCAGAGAAAUAAACAUUCAGAGGCCUUUACCUUUAGAAAACUUCAACUGUACUCUUUCUAGUUUCAUUCUUUAUCCUUUUUUCUAGACAGUGCUCACCCCUGCAUACUGUGCCAGUUCUAAAAAAAAAAAAAAAAACAACCCAAAAACUGCAUUUACCACCACUCUGUCCUUCCUACCAGCCCAUCAUCCCAAAUCCAUCUUCCUGAAGUACCAUUUCUAUAGGUCAUGCCCCCGUCUGAAAAUCAUUCGGGGGGGGGUCUUUCUUUCAUUGCCCACAUAAGGUCCAAACUCCUUAAUUUGGCAUUGAUCCAGUUCUGAGCUAUCUUUCUAACAAACAUUAUUUUCCUCUUCUCCUUCAACCAGAUUGGCGUAAUCCAUGUCCAACAACCCACACCAUUGGUGAUCCCACUCCCAUGUCUUUUCUCACACCACUGUUUCCUCAGAAUUCCCCUCCUUGUCUGCCUAAGUCCCUUUCUCUCUUCAGAGUCCCACCUCAAGUGAUAUCUUUGGUCUUUCUGUCUACCCCAGUCUACAGUAUUAAUAUAUUCAGCAACUUAGAUGAAACGGACAAUUCCUUGGAAAAAAACUAGCAAGGGACAGAGAAAAGAGAAAUAGUCCUGUAUGUCCUAAAGAAAUUGAAUUCUAAAUCAAAACCUUUCCCACAGAGGAAAUUCCAGGCCCAGAUGGCUUCACCAGUGAAUUCCAUAAAACAUUUUAGUAAGAAAUAAUCCGAUUUACAAAAAUUCUUUCAGAAAAUAGAGGAGAACAUUUCCCAAUACAUUGUAUGAAGUUUGUAUAACCUUGAUACCGAAACCUGAUGAAAGACACUUCUAAAACAUCUAUAGCUAACAUCAUAUUUAAUGGUUAAACACUGGCUGCUUUCUCUAAGAUAGAUAGGGAAGAAAUCAAAACAUCUACUUUCACCAGUAUAGUAAGACACAAAGAUACGAAAGGAAGUAGCAAAUACUGUCAUUUUCAGCAAAAUGAUUGUGUAGGUUUAAAACCCUAUGAAAUCUACAAAAACUGCUAGAACUAAAGAGUAAAAUUAGAAAAGUCACUGGUCAGUAUAUUAAAAAAAUCAAUUGUAUUUCUCUCUCUCUCUCUCUC